AUGAAAGAAUUAGAUCCUGGAAAUGUUCAGUCAGAGGUUUUUGUACGACGGCUCAAUGAGUUUGUAUCACUGUGGUACACGUUCGGUGGAGGAACCAGACUGGAGGUUGGAAAGGUUUUUGUACGACGGCUCAAUGAGUUUGUAUCACUGUGGUACACGUUCGGUGGAGGAACCAGACUGGAGGUUGGAAGUGGUACCCGUCCCACCCUGACAGUGCUGCCCCCCUCCAGUGAGGACCUGAAGCAGGGGCAGGUGACCCUGAUGUGUCUGGCCAACAAGGGCUUCCCCUCAGACUGGACUCUGUCCUGGAAGCUGGACGGCAGCAGCAGCAGCAGCAGCAGCAGCUUGGAGCAGAGCAGGAGCCCCGGGGUGCUGCAGAAUGACGGCCUCUACAGCUGGAGCAGCACCCUGAGGCUCCCUGCAGACCAGUGGAGGAAGGUGGGCUCUGUGACCUGUGAGGCCUCCCAGAGCUCCCAGUCUGCCAUCACAGAGACACUGAGGAGAGACCAAUGCUCCCAGUCCUGA